rfam:Dipodomys ordii contig_24676, whole genome shotgun sequence.
GGUGGCUCAGUGGUAGAGCGCUUGCUUUGCAUGCAUGAGGCGGCCCUGGAUUCGAUUCCCCAGCACCA